AUCCGACUUGCAUGUGUUAGGCACGCCGCCAGCGUUCGUUCUGAGCCAGGAUCAAACUCUCCACUU
rnacentral:rRNA from 1 species